rnacentral:RNase_P_RNA from 1 species
GAGGAAAGUCCGGGCUCCAUAGGGCAGGGUGCCAGGUAACGCCUGGGGGGGGAAACCUACGACCAGUGCAACAGAGAGCAAACCGCCGAUGGCCCGCGCAAGCGGGAUCAGGUAAGGGUGAAAGGGUGCGGUAAGAGCGCACCGCGCGGCUGGUAACAGUCCGUGGCACGGUAAACUCCACCCGGAGCAAGGCCAAAUAGGGGUUCAUAAGGUACGGCCCGUACUGAACCCGGGUAGGCUGCUUGAGCCAGUGAGCGAUUGCUGGCCUAGAUGAAUGACUGUCCACGACAGAACCCGGCUUA